rnacentral:rRNA from 1 species
UACAGAGGUCUCAAGCGUUGUUCGGAUUCAUUGGGCGUAAAGGGUGCGUAGGCGGCGCGGUAAGUCGGGUGUGAAAUCUCGGGGCUUAACUCCGAAACUGCAUUCGAUACUGCGGUGCUUGAGGACUGGAGAGGAGACUGGAAUUCAUGGUGUAGCAGUGAAAUGCGUAGAGAUCAUGAGGAAGACCAGUGGCGAAGGCGGGUCUCUGGACAGUUCCUGACACUGAGACACGAAG